CAGCAGCCACGGUAAUACGAAGGGGGCAAGCGUUGUUCGGAAUUAUUGGGCGUAAAGGGUGCGUAGGCGGCUUGACAAGUCUUGUGUGAAAUCUAUGGGCUCAACCCAUAGUCUGCACGGGAAACUGUCGGGCUUGAGAAUGGGAGAGGUGAGUGGAAUUUCCGGUGUAGCGGUGAAAUGCGUAGAUAUCGGAAGGAACACCUGUGGCGAAAGCGGCUCACUGGACCAUUUCUGACGCUGAUGCACGAAAGCUAGGGGAGCAAACAGGAUUAGAUACCCCGGUAGUCCCUGUCUCUUAUAC
rnacentral:rRNA from 1 species